rnacentral:rRNA from 1 species
AAUAUUUGAAAAUGGGGGCAACCCCGAUCCAGCCAUGCCGCGUGCGUGAAGAAGGACAUAGGAAUGUACAGCACUUUAAGUUGAGAGAAAGGGCUUUAGACUAUUACUCUGAAAUUUUGUCGAUACCAACAGAAUAAGCACCGGAUAACGCUGUUCUAGCAGCCGCGGUAAUACAGAGGGUGCAAGCGUUAAUCGGAAUUACUGGGCGUAAAGCGCGCGUAGGUGGUUCAGUAAGAUGGGUGUGAAAUCCCCGGGCUUAACCUGGGAACUGCUUUCAUAACUGCUGAGCUAGAGUACGGUAGAGGGUAGUGGAAUUUCCUGUGUAGCGGUGAAAUGCGUAGAUAUAGGAAGGAACACCAGUGGCGAAGGCGACUACCUGGACUGAUACUGACACUGAGGUGCGAAAGCGUGGGGAGCAAAC